rnacentral:rRNA from 1 species
CGUAGAGAGUUUGUAGUCCUGGCUCAGGAGUGAACGCUGGCGGCGUGCUAACCACAUGCAAGUCGAACGAGUCUGUAUUGAACCUAGUGAUAUACAGGUUAGUGGCGGACGGGUGAGUAACGCGUGAUAACCUGCCGUAUACCGGGGGAUAACACUUAGAAAUAGGUGCUAAUACCGCAUGAGCGCACAGCUCCGCAUGGAGCGGUGUGAAAAACUCCGGUGGUAUACGAUGGAUCCGCGUCUGAUUAGCCAGUUGGCGGGGUAACGGCCCACCAAAGCGACGAUCAGUAGCCGGCCUGAGAGGGUGAACGGCCACAUUGGGACUGAGACACGGCCCAGACUCCUACGGGAGGCAGCAGUGGGGAAUAUUGCACAAUGGGGGAAACCCUGAUGCAGCGACGCCGCGUGAGUGAAGAAGUAUCUCGGUAUGUAAAGCUCUAUCAGCAGGAAAGAUAAUGACGGUACCUGACUAAGAAGCCCCGGCUAACUACAUG